rnacentral:rRNA from 1 species
GAGGGUGCGAACGUUGUUCGGAAUUACUGGGCGUAAAGCGCGUGUAGGCGGCAGCGCAAGUCGGGCGUGAAAUCCCACGGCUCAACCGUGGAAGUGCACUCGAAACUGCGCAGCUAGAGUCCUGGAGAGGAAGGUGGAAUGCUUGGUGUAGAGGUGAAAUUCGUAGAUAUCAAGCGGAACACCGGUGGCGAAGGCGGCCUUCUGGACAGUGACUGACGCUGAGACGCGAAAGCGUGGGGAGCAAACAGG